rnacentral:lncRNA from 1 species
UGUCAGGUCAUUAAAGAUUGCAUAUUUUGGUGUUAAUAUUGAUUCACUUAUAGGGUCUUUGCAUCGGAACUAAACACAUUUAUUAUUAAUAAACCAGUUGUUGGCAUGACACGGGUUAUGUUCUUCUUAUAUAUGUUAUGAUGGUAUGAUACUAAACCCCUCACGGGGAGGAUUGUGCCUGAUAUUCAUAUGAUGAAGACAUAAUUUUUCAAUCAGUUUAAUUGAGUUCCGGAGCUGGCAUGUCAGUUAACUGCUAGUAGUCUGGUGUUAUUUAUGUAUUAUUG